UACGUAGGGAGCAAGCGUUGUUCGGAUUUACUGGGCGUAAAGGGCGCGUAGGCGGCGCGGUAAGUCACUUGUGAAAUCUCUGAGCUUAACUCAGAACGGCCAAGUGAUACUGCAGUGCUAGAGUGCAGAAGGGGCAAUCGGAAUUCUCGGUGUAGCGGUGAAAUGCGUAGAUAUCAAGAGGAACACCUGAGGUGAAGACGGGUUGCUAGGCUGACACUGACGCUGAGGCGCGAAAGCCAGGGGAGCAAACGGG
rnacentral:rRNA from 1 species